rnacentral:rRNA from 1 species
AAUGACGCUGGCGGAGCCCUUACCUUAUAGCAAGUCGAGCGGGGAAACGUAGCUUGCUACCUAACCUACGGCGACGGGUGAGUAAUGCUUAGGAAUCUGCCUAUUAGUGGGGGACAACGUUUCGAAAGGAACGCUAAUACCGCAUACGUCCUACGGGAGAAAGCAGGGGAUCAUUUGACCUUGUGCUAAUAGAUGAGCCUAAGUCGGAUUAGCUAGUUGGUGGGGUAAAGGCCUACCAAGGCGACGAUCUGUAGCGGGUCUGAGCAGGAUGAUCCGCCACACUGGGACUGAGACACGGCCCAGACUCCUACGGGAGGCAGCAGUGGGGAAUAUUUGGACAAUGGGCGCAAAGCCUGAUCCAAGCCAUGCCGCGUGUGUGAAGAAGGCCUUAUGGUUGUAAAGCACCUUUAAGCGAGGAGGAGGAGCUUCAGGUUAAAUACCCUGGCAUGCUUGGGACGUUACUCGCAGAAUAAGCACCGGCUAACUCUGUGCCAGCAGCCGCGGUAAUACAGAGGGUGCAAAGCGUUAACUCGGAUUUACUGGGCGU